rnacentral:rRNA from 1 species
AUGGACGUAAAAUCUGCAUUUCUGAAUGGAGUGCUGGAGGAGGAGGUCUAUGUGUCACAGCCGCCUGGGCUCAUCAUCACAGGGCAGGAUACCAAGGGUGCUUUGUCUGAAGAAGGUGCUAUAUAUGGACUGUGCCAAGCCCCGUGCACAUGGAAUUCGCGCCUUGAAGCCAUGCUGAAGAGCUUUGGCUUUGAGCAGAGCACCCAUGAGCACACUGUCUAUGGACGCGGGCUUGACAUGGCGCACCUGCUCAUUGACAUCUACGUCAACGAUCUGGUGAUCACUGGAUCAGACCAUGAUGGGAUUUCCCGAUUCAAGGAAAAAUGA